ensembl:rRNA 5S_rRNA 5S ribosomal RNA
GCCAGCAGCUAGCUCUCUGCAAUUCUUACAAGGUACUCUUACUGAAGCUAAGCAGGGCUGUACUUGGUCUGUACCUGGAUGGGAGACCACAUGGGAAAGCUAGGUUGCUGCCGGAA